GGCAGCAUGGCCAAGUGGUUUAGGGCGCUGGUGUUCUAAUCUGGAGGUUCGGGGUUUAAGCCCUCCAUUUGCCA